CCUACGGGUGGCAGCAGUGAGGAAUAUUGCUCAAUGGACGAGAGUCUGAACCAGCCAAGUAGCGUGAGGGAUGACUGCUCUAUGGGUUGUAAACUUCUUUUAUAAAGGAAUAAAACAAGGCACGUGUGCCUUUUUCCAUGUACUUUAUGAAUAAGGCUCGGCUAACUCCGCGCCAGCAGCCGCGGUAAUACGGAGGAUCCGAGCGUUAUCCGGAUUUAUUGGGUUUAAAGGGAGCGUAGAUGGGUUGUUAAGUCAGUUGUGAAAGUUUGCGGCUCAACCGUAAAACUGCAAUUGAUACUGGGGGGCUUGAGUACAGGUGAGGCAGGCGGAAUUCGUGGUGUAGCGGUGAAAUGCUUAGAUAUUACGAAGAACCCCGAUGGCGAAGGCAGCUUACUAAACUGUAACUGACAUUGAUGCUCGAAAGUGUGGGGAUCAAACAGGAUUAGAUACCCCAGUAGUC
rnacentral:rRNA from 1 species